rnacentral:rRNA from 1 species
CCUACGGGAGGCAGCAGUGGGGAAUCUUGGACACUGGGGGGAACCCUGAUCCAGCGACGCCGCGUGAGUGAAGAAGUAUUUCGGUAUGUAAAGCUCUAUCAGCAGGGAAGAAAGAAAUGACGGUACCUGACUAAGCAGCCCCGGCUAACUACGUGCCAGCAGCCGCGGUAAGACGUAGGGGGCAAGCGUUAUCCGGAUUUACUGGGUGUAAAGGGAGCGUAGACGGCGAUGCAAGUCUGAAGUGAAAGGCGGGGGCCCAACCCCCGGACUGCUUUGGAAACUGGAUGGCUGGAGUGCAGGAGAGGUAAGUGGAAGUCCUAGUGUAGCGGUGAAAUGCGUAGAUAUUAGGAGGAACACCAGUGGCGAAGGCGGCUUACUGGACUGUAACUGACGUUGAGGCUCGAAAGCGUGGGGAGCAAACAGGAUUAGAUACCCUUGUAGUC